AUUGAACGCUGGCGGCAGGCCUAACACAUGCAAGUCGAGCGGAUGAAGGGAGCUUGCUCCUGGAUUCAGCGGCGGACGGGUGAGUAAUGCCUAGGAAUCUGCCUGGUAGUGGGGGAUAACGUCCGGAAACGGGCGCUAAUACCGCAUACGUCCUGAGGGAGAAAGUGGGGGAUCUUCGGACCUCACGCUAUCAGAUGAGCCUAGGUCGGAUUAGCUAGUUGGUGGGGUAAAGGCCUACCAAGGCGACGAUCCGUAACUGGUCUGAGAGGAUGAUCAGUCACACUGGAACUGAGACACGGUCCAGACUCCUACGGGAGGCAGCAGUGGGGAAUAUUGGACAAUGGGCGAAAGCCUGAUCCAGCCAUGCCGCAUGUGUGAAGAAGGUCCUCGGAUUGUAAAGCACUUUAAGUUGGGAGGAAGGGCAGUAAGUUAAUACCUUGCUGUUUUGACGUUACCAACAGAAUAAGCACCGGCUAACUUCGUG
rnacentral:rRNA from 1 species